rnacentral:lncRNA from 1 species
UCUCUCCUGCAAUUCAAGUGUCUUUCUAAAGUUUGGAACACUUUAAUACAGCAAUCCAACUUUGUCAAACUGCACAAUACUCGUUCUCAAGUCCGCCCUUCCGCCAUUCGCCUUUUGUUUGAACUAGAAGUAUGCCCUGGUGGGAAAGAAAACCUUGGAAUAAAGGAAAAAAGACCACGGUUAGAACAAUUUUCUUUAGAAUUACUGGUGCCUCGUCAUUAUUUCUGCAAUUAUGCUAUAACGAGAUGAGUAUGUGCUCAAAGUUUUGCCAUUCUCUAUGAAUCACGGGAAAUACCCAUUGGAUCAUCCUCAAUUGUUUCUCGGAUUUGAUCCGAUAACUGGAAAAUACAAAUUGCUUCUUAUUUUUGCGGAAAUCAACAACAACAACGAUUAUCGAGUAAUUAAGACUAGAAUUCUAACUCUAGGAACAGAUUCUUCCUGGAGAAAAAUCCAUAUGCCGUCUAAGUGGUUGCUUAUGUUACGAAUUCGUAACCUUAAUUAGGAUAUUGGGUCGGGUUCCAGUCUCGGUUGGGCUGGACGAGUAGAAGUGUUAAUUAUCAAGUUGUUCUGGGCCUUAUUUGUUAGGUCCAGUUACCUUUUAAUUCCAAUCAAGUCCAAACGACUAUACAUCUUAUUUAGGACACAUGUCUUAGUAUUAGUGAGUUUGUUAGAGAAUUGUCCUUGUGGGACAGUUGGUCACGUAGUAUAUAGAGAAUGAACAUUGUAUCCGGAAAAUCAUCUGAAAUGAAUAUUCUAUUUUUUAUCAAUUAAUUUUCUUUUUCCUUAAUUUUCUGUUAUUCAACGUAGCCAUUGCUACAUUUUGGUAUCAGAGCGUGAUCCUUGGCAACAAUGGUGGAUCCUCCUCGUGAGGUCAGCAGCAGCGAAAACCCUGUAGACCUAGAGCAACAGCUGCAAUCUUUUAUCGUCACCUCCAGCAAGCGUAUGGAGAAGAUAGAAGAGAUGCAGAAAAGGAAUGUUGAAUCGAACCAAAGGAUAGAGAACUGGGUAAUAGAUAUUCAGAAGAAGGACAAAACUCGAAUGUCAAUGGCGGGAGGUAGUAAUUAUACGGAAACAGGACAGUCAUCGGUGGGCGGAGGAUUCCGGCCAACUUCAUCGCCGGUAACUCCUAUGUUUCCUACCCCCAUAGCUGGAAAUCAAAGAAAUCUCCAUGUAAGCAGAAAUUUGAACUUACCUACCCCAAACACCAGUUUUUCUCACACUAGUUUUGCACCAACACUGAGUGAAAACCUAGCUUUACCCUCAAUGAAUCCCCACUUCUCUCACACUUACAGCUCUGCUAUUAAUUCCACUAUACUUGCGUUUAUUAGUUCAUCCAAGCCUUUUUCUUCACUAUCUGCCUUUAGCAGGCCUUUCACCCCAGCCCAUGUUUCCUCUUCCACUAGCCCACUAACGUUUGGAACGAACAUUCCUAUCUCAGCAACGGAAACCCAACCUUCAAAUGUGGCCCAAAUGCAAGUUUUUUCCAAUACAACCCAGACACCAUAUUAUAGACCCCAAGAUCCUGCAUCCCAAAUACCCCUCUACACAUCUAAUCAACCUCAUCUUGUUACAUCACAAAUUCAUGUAGCCAUUAACCAAUUACCAACCUACUCGGAUAUGGCUUUACCCAUUUUGUUCAUUCUUCCAGAAAAUUCCCCACAUAAUCUCCGUCACUUAAAAGCCACAAUUUUGUUCCCUGAAUUUGAUGAGACCAAUGUUAGGGGGUGUAUAUGUAGGUGCAAAUAUUAUUUUGACUACUAUCGUGUUACUGAAGAAGAUAAAAUGAUUUGUGUGGCUAUCACAGUCAAGGACAACUUGGACAGUUGGUUUGAUUCUCAUGUAAUAGACCAUGGGGGAGGAUUAAUUGGAGAUAAUUUGUUACGAUUUAUGUGAAAGAUAUGAUGGAACAGGACCUCUUGAUGUGGUUACUAUAUUUAAUCAUCUACAACAAUGGGCUGAUGUGCCGAGCUAUCAAAAAAGAUUUGCAGACUUGCGUUGCAGAGUCGAAGUAGUGAGGCCUCAGUUCGAUGAAUUAUACUUUGUGCAAUGUUUUAUUUAAGGAAAUAGGCCCAAUGGUGAAGGUUGCAAAUCCAAGAUCACAUUCAUCAUUUAAGAGAGGUGUUUGAACUACUAAAGGCAAACAUGUUUUUUGCCAAAAGGUCGAAGUGCAGCUUUGCACAAUCACAAGUGGAGUAUUUGGGUCAGGUUGUGUCGGGAUAUGGAGUUAGCACUGACAUUGCUAAAUUGGAAGCUAUGUUAUCAUGGCCUCGACUAGUGAAUAUUAAAUGGUUAAGGGGAUUUCUUGGUUUAACAGCGGUUACUACAGACCUUUUAUUAAAAACUAUGCAGUAAUUAGUAGGCACUUAACACUACUGCUAAAAAAAGGGUAUUUUCAGUGGAAUGAAGUAGCCUCAAAAGCUUUUGAGGAAUUGAAGGAGGCAAUGGUAAAGGGCCCUGUGUUAGGAUUGCCCGAUUUCUCCAAAACGUUUACUGUGGAAGUGGAUGCUAGUGGAGUAGGCAUGGGAGCAGUCCUAACGCAAAAUGGAAGACCCUUGGCAUACUUGAGUCAGGCCUUAAGCCCCAAAAAUCUGGGCUUGUCAACAUAUGAGAAGGAAUUAGCGGUCUUGCUGAUUGUAGUUGAAAAAUGGAGGCAUUAUUUGCAACCUAACAAGUUUCUAAUAUGCACAAAUCAUUUUAGUUUGAAGUUUCUUCGAGAUCAAAGGGUCACUACUUCACUGCAGCACAAGGGAGUAACUAAACUCAUGGGGCUUGAUUAUGAGAUACAAUACAGACAAGGGAUAGAAAAUGUGGUAGCAGACGCUUUGUCCCGCAAAAAAGAGGUAUCUGGAGAGUUCCAUGGACUCUCAACUGUCCAACCUAAAUGGGCUCAAGAGAUCAUGGACAACUAUAUUGAUGAUACAGAGGCACAACAAUUAAUAAUGCAACUAAGCAUUGACCCAACAUCAAGUGAUAAUGUCACUUUUUAGCAUUGUAUCUUACGCAAAGGAGGUCAAGUUUGGGUAGGAAAUCAUAGGCAGCUAAGAGGAAAGUUGAUUCAAGAAAUGCAUGCAACACCUUGGGGAGGGCAUUCAUGUAUAAUUCCAACUCAACAAAGGUUAAGAUCCUUGUUUUACUGGCCAGGUUUAUUGAGUGAUGUGAAAGAAGUUGUGAGGUCUUGUGAAAUAUACCAAAGGAACAAGGGGGAAGUGUCCCAUUGGUCUCCUACAACCACUGGCAAUCCCUACAAAAGUAUGGGAGCAUGUGACUAUGGAUUUUAUCGAUGGGCUUCCAAAAUCACAGUGAAAGGACACCAUUUUAGUGGUAGUAGACAAGUACACUAAGUAUGCUCAUUUCAUCACACUAUCACAUCCCUACAAUGCAAUUCAAGUAGCUCAGCUAUUGCUAGACAAUGUGUUUAAACUACAUGGAGCCCCUUGUUAUGUGGUAUCGGAUAGAGAUCCCAUUUUUGUCAGCAUUUUUUGGAAGGAGCUACUAAAAGGAUUACAAGUGUAGCAAAAUCUAAGUACAGCUUACCAUCCUAAAAUGGAUGGGCAUUGCGAAAGACUAAGUAGAUGUUUGGAGACGUAUUUACGAUGCAUGACGGGCCAUAAACCAAAAGAAUAGAACAAGUGGAUUCCAUUGGCCGAAUUCUGGUAUAACAAGACUCAUCAUUCCGACAUUGGCAUGUAUCCCUUCAAGUCACUCUAUGGAUAUGACCCUCCUCAACCCAUAUUUGAGCUCGUGGGUCAGACCAAAUUGGAAGCUGUAGAUUAGUUGCUCAAGAAGAGGCAGCUGAUGAGCAAAAUCCUACAAGACAAUUUGCAGAAAGCUCAAAACAGGAUGAAACAGUUCACAGAUAAGAAAAGAAGUGACAGAGUGUUUGAAGUAGUGGAUUUCAUAUUUCUCAAACUACAACCUUACCGUCAGAUCUCAGUGGCGGUUAGGAAGAACUUAAAGCUUGCAGCAAAGUAUUAUGGACCAUACAAAGUAAGUAGAAGAAUUGGGGGUGUGGCAUAUGAACUCGAGCUACAUGUUAGAUCCAAAAUUCAUCCAGUCUUCCAUGUUUCAUAACUGAAGAAAAAUGUGGGAUCAGGCGUGUUUCCAUACCAAGAUCCACCUUAUUGCAACGAUGAAGGGCAAAUCCUUACAGAAUCAAUCGCAAUUCUAGAGCGCAUAUUAGUGAAGAAAGGUAACAAGGCAGUUGUUGAAGUUUUAGUCCAGUGAGCUAAUCUUUCCAAAGAUGAAGCAACUUGGGAGGAUUUCUCUUUCCUCAAAUCUCAGUUUCCUAAUUUUGCAGGGAAAGAUUGAAGCUUUUCUUGAAGGGGAGUGGAAUGUUACGAAUUUCCCAAAUUUGUAACCUUAAUUAGGAUAUUGGGUCAGGUUCCAGUCUCAGUUGGGCCGAACGAGUAGAAGUCCUAAUUAUUAAGUUGUUUUGGGCUCUUUUUGUUAGGUCCAAUUGCCUUUUAAUUUCAAUCAAGCCCAAACGGCUAUACAACUCAUUUAGGACACGUGUCUUAAUAUUAGUGAGUUUGUUAGAGAAUUGUCCUUGUGGGACAGCUAGUCACAUAGUAUAGUAUAUAGAGAAUAAACAGUGUAUCCGGAAAAUUAACUGAAAUGAAUAUUCCAUUUUUUUAUCAAUUAAUUUUUU